rnacentral:lncRNA from 1 species
UCAUGUGUAUGGCGUACUAGAGCUAUUCGGUCAGCAAAUACAAGUGCUUACGCAAUUGUUCCUUGUGGGUAUGACAGCUUCUGCAGAGCAGCACAAUGGACAGGAAACACGGCGUAUAGCAAAGCCUCAGAGCAGCUUGACAGAGUUAUUUACAAGCACUCUCAUCGUGAAAUAGAAUCAACGGCAGGAACAAUUCUCUAAAGUAGCAGGUCUUCACCCAAUGUUGCAUACUUAAGUACUCGAUUAACUAUUCAGAUGUAUACUACCCCACGUCCUUUAACAUUUUUCAUGAUGAAAAUUCGAACUACGGUGCGUUUUUUAACAAUUGUCUUCUUCAUACGAGGAGCAUUUUGUCAAUAUGAAGCAGUUUACCGAAGGGAGCGAUACUGUCGUCGACUUUUUCCACCUGUGAUCAAUUCAGCCAUGGGCUUAUGUACGUAUCCGUGUCUAUUAUUAUCCCACGAACUGCCUCCAAAGAUAAUUGUGCAGUGGGAGCCUGACGGAACUCUUUGCAAGAUGAAUGACCGAUUCUCCCAAGAAAUAAAG